rnacentral:rRNA from 2 species
GACGAACCGUGCGAACGUUGUUCGGAAUCACUGGGCUUAAAGGGCGCGUAGGCGGGCUGACAAGUCUGGGGUGAAAUCCCACGGCUCAACCGUGGAACUGCCUUAGAUACUGUCGGCCUCGAGGAAGGUAGGGGCAUGCGGAACUGUAGGUGGAGCGGUGAAAUGCGUUGAUAUCUACAGGAACUCCGGUGGCGAAAGCGGCGUGCUGGACCUUUUCUGACGCUGAGGCGCGAAAGCUAGGGGAGCAAACGGG